AGCGAACGCUGGCGGCAGGCUUAACACAUGCAAGUCGAGCGGAGAUGAGGUGCUUGCACCUUAUCUUAGCGGCGGACGGGUGAGUAAUGCUUAGGAAUCUGCCUAUUAGUGGGGGACAACAUUCCGAAAGGAAUGCUAAUACCGCAUACGUCCUACGGGAGAAAGCAGGGGAUCUUCGGACCUUGCGCUAAUAGAUGAGCCUAAGUCGGAUUAGCUAGUUGGUGGGGUAAAGGCCUACCAAGGCGACGAUCAGUAGCUGGUCUGAGAGGAUGAUCAGCCAAACUGGGAAUGAGACACGGCCCAGACUCCUACGGGAGGCAGCAGUGGGGAAUAUUGGACAAUGGGCGCAAGCCUGAUCCAGCCAUGCCGAGUGUGUGAAGAAGGCCUUAUGGUUGUAAAGCACUUUAAGCGAGGAGGAGGCUACUUUAGUUAAUACCUAGAGAUAGUGGACGUUACUCGCAGAAUAAGCACCGGCUAACUCUGUGCCAGCAGCCGCAGUAAAAC
rnacentral:rRNA from 1 species